AACGAUUGAAGCCAGUCGUACCUUCGGGUAAUCAGCCUUUCGGGUGCGAUUCUGUGGAGUGUGAGGAGUUAAACACCUUCAUGUUUUGCAUAUUCGUACUCUUGGGUGUACUUGCCCGUGUGGUUGGUUAACAUCAAUUUUGGUGGUCAUAAAAUGACUGGAGGAAUGUAGCUUCGAUCUCGUAUUGAAGUGUUAUAGCCUUCGGUAGAUGUGAUGAUCGAGAUUGAGGAUUGCAACGGAUACCCUUCGGGGCUACCUGUCUGAUCUCUGAUCGUUGCUCUGGUGCCGAAAGCUUGCUUACGGUUAUCAAAGUCGAUGGUCAAUAGGUUAGAACGGGUUAAA
rnacentral:rRNA from 1 species